rnacentral:tRNA from 1 species
GCCUGGGUGGCUCAGUUGGUUGGGCGUCUGACUUCGGCUCAGGUCAUGAUCUCAUAGUUUGUGGGUUCGAGCCCCGCGUUGGGCU